rnacentral:rRNA from 1 species
UACGUAGGGAGCAAGCGUUGUCCGGAAUCAUUGGGCGUAAAGCGCGCGUAGGUGGCCUCAUAAGUCCGCUGUGAAAGUCAAAGGCUCAACCUUUGAAAGCCGGUGGAUACUGUGGGGCUAGAGUACGGAAGAGGCGAGUGGAAUUCCUGGUGUAGCGGUGGAAUGCGCAGAUAUCAGGAGGAACACCAAUAGCGAAGGCGGCUCACUGGUCCAUUACUGACGCUGAGGUGCGAAAGCGUGGGGAGCAAACAGG